AAUCUUCCACCGUCUUCUUCUCCUUCGGUGGAUAGAGAAGCGACUGGAAUUAUAAGAAUCAGAAUCAGUAGGCUUGAGAGAGUGAGAGAGUGAGAGAGUGAAAAAAAACCCAUACUACCUCUAUGGAGAUUGUUUGCGCGUUCAAGACUGAUUGCUGCAUUUUGUAAGUUUUUGCCUUCUGAGUUCUGAGAUAUGCUUUUGGAGAAUUUGGUUACUGGCUUGAGCUUUUACUCUCAUGUAAAAGAAAAAUUGGUAACAUAAUGUUUCUUUCUCUCUUAGAGUCAGGGGAAGCAACUGAUCUUUUAAGUAAGGUUUAAUUACAUAGCUCAUUAUGUUGAUGGCUCAGAGAGGUUCUCAAUAAUAUUAGGGAAAAGAUUGUUUUUUUUUUUUAGUGGUGCCGAGCAUGGUCUUGUGUGUUUCUGUACUUUGAUUCUUCGUGGUGCCGAGUAUGGUUUUACUUUGUUGAUGCUUUUAUCAAUUAAAUCAGGAAGUCCUUGCUUUGUUGUUCAUAAUUCUAUUAAAACCUGAAGCACUUGAAGGAAGAAGCUUUACUGAUAUUCCAAAGCAGCUACUCCCACCAGAAUUUUGCUAUAAGUAGAUGAAAAGGGAUGUAGAAGCUGCGUUGAAAGUGAAAGGCGGGGUUUGUUAGAGCUGAAGGCCUAUAUGAUCUCGGUCAUUAUUGAUCCAUGUUUAGACAUUCAUCGAGGAUGGAUGAGUAGUGAUCGUUCUUGUUGCCCUUGGAGAACGUGUGAUUGGAAUCUCCCUAUCCUUAGAAUCCAUACAUUCCCAUGAUCCUCUUCCUCUACUGAAGAACCUAAAUGUUUUCCAUCCCUUUGAAGAGCUUCAGAGUCUCAACUUUUCGUCAGGAUACUGCAAAGGCUGGUUCGACGAAAGAAUAGGUGGUGAGGGCCAGGGAAGUUUCAGGAAAUCUUGAGACUCUGGAUCUCGGUAACAACUCUUAUGGUAGCAGACUAGCAGUGUCUUGCCAUACUUGAAGGAGGCUGUGUCGCUCAAGACUUUGAUUCUCCAAACUCCAUGACAACUUAUUUGACGGUGGCUUUCCUGUUUAAAGUUGGUACUCCUGAAAUUAUUAAUACUCACAUAACAAAAGCUGUAGUCAAUACAAUUUUAUGUGUACUCUCUGCAAAAGUUUAAAUGAAUGUAGAAACAAUCAGAGACUGAAUUGGAGAAUGAAUUGGUGUAUGAUUGUUAAAUUAAAA